UACACUCCUACGGGAGGCAGCAGUGGGGAAUAUUGGACAAUGGGCGCAAGCCUGAUCCAGCCAUGCCGCGUGAGUGAUGAAGGCCCUAGGGUUGUAAAGCUCUUUCACCGGUGAAGAUAAUGACGGUAACCGGAGAAGAAGCCCCGGCUAACUUCGUGCCAGCAGCCGCGGUAAUACGAAGGGGGCUAGCGUUGUUCUGAUUUACUGGGCGUAAAGCGCACGUAGGCGGACUAUUAAGUCAGGGGUGAAAUCCCGGGGCUCAACCCCGGAACUGCCUUUGAUACUGGUAGUCUUGAGUUCGAGAGAGGUGAGUGGGAUUCCGAGUGUAGAGGUGAAAUUCGUAAAUAUUCGGAGGAACACCAGUGGCGAAGGCGGCUCACUGGCUCGAUACUGACGCUGAGGUGCGAAAGCGUGGGGAGCAAACAGGAUUAGAAACCCCUGUAGUCCCAU
rnacentral:rRNA from 1 species